GUUAUUCAUCUGAAAUUUUUUGAUAGCUUGCACACAUUCUUCUUUGGUGCGAAACAUGUCUCCCACUUUUAACUCAUCCUCUGAUCGUGGAUACGGGAUAUAAAAAACACAGUUGGAUGUUUCAUCGUCAUGUAGAUCCAUGUUUGUCAUAUGUUGAGGUGGAUUAUAUACAUGACUUGGAGGUAAUGGUGUUGGAUGAUCGUCAUCAUUAAUGUUGUUGUUCAACAUAUGAUCGACAUGUGUCUUAGUCUCUUCUUCUUCUUCUUCAACGAUGUUGACUUCUGCUUCUGCUUCUGGGUCGGCUUCAUCUGAUUUUUCUGAAUCAAACUCAUUAGAUUCAACUUGAUUAGUUAUCUGAGAUUGCUGAGAUGGCAUACUUGGUUGAAGAGUAAUAUAUAACUCAAUAUAUUUGCAACCAGAAUGUUCGUGUCUAACAAACAUAUAUUCAACAUCUUCAUCGUCCUGUACCUUUAGCGAGAAAAAUUUGCAUUGACUGUUCUCGAAAAAAAUUGGAUUUUGAUACGGGAUUUGUGACACAAGACCAAAUCCUAUGCAGGAUUCAAUUCAUUUUUUCAAAUGCAAGAAAUAUGAAUUUCUCUUAAUCGUUAGUUGGAUAGUAUCGGUGUUUCGAAAACAAAACCCAUAAUAGAUCACACUCAUAUGUCUCACCGUUGCAGUGAGCAAUGAUAGUAUAUUUUGGUACAGAUGACAUUGUAAUAUUUUUUGUGCAGAUGAAAAGUAAUAUUUGUUUGGUGCAGAUGAAUUUGUGUUGAUUGUUGGAUGUAGAUAGUAAGGCACUUAAAUAGACAAGUGAUGUGUCAAGCAUGCAAGCCCUAGCUCCAGCCCAAUUGGCGCUAGCAUGCAAGCAUUGUACAUGGGCACCAGUCCAACUGGCGCUAGCAUGUAUUCCUUGUAGACCUCAUAACUCAACAUGUAGAGCCAUGCAGGCGCCAGGCUAGGUGAAGACCAUGCAUUCAUGCAAGCCUAGGAGGUGCCAAUUUAAUUGGCGUUAGCAUGUUACAUUUGCAUGUGUAAGUCAAACCAUUUGGCGCUAGCAUGCAAACACUAUUAUCCAUGCAUUCAAACUUUUGUAUGCCUUUGCAUGUCCCUCAUUAUAAAUAGCCAUGCAAGUCUCACAUUUUUUCCUCACUAACAAUCACUUCUUCCUCUACAACAACAACUCUUUCAUCUGCAACAACCACUGUUUCAAAUAUUUACUCCAACAAGAUGUCUCUCCUUACUAUGGGUGAAUCGCACAAAGGCACAGUUGCAAACAUAGCAACUUAUGUAAGCAUUUAAUUCUUGUAUUAUUUUUCUAAAAUAAUUUUUAAUAACGAUACUUAACUUUUUGUUUAUCUUUUAUAAAGUAACGUAUUUUGUUGUUUCUUUUUUAGGAUGUUUCUAGGUUUCGAACUCGGGUCCACAAAUUUGUACACAUGGACCCGAUGAUUCAACUGUAUGUCAAACUCGCCGGUUUUUGACAUAUAAGCAAAAUAAUGUCUCGGUCGGUGGAUAAUAAAUUUAUUCUUGCAUUAUGUGAAAGAUGGCGUCCCGUGACACACACAUUCUGGUUUUCAACCGGUGAAUGUACCGUGACGUUAGAAGACGUCUACAUGUUAUUGGGACUGUCUAUCGAAGGUAAGGCGGUAAAUGACAAAAUCAACUAUGCAAAUUUAAUUUACAUGGACCUCUUGGAUGAUGAUUUGUUAAAUGAUAACUCGAGAGGUCAAGGUAUACUCCUUUCACGCCUUAAGGCAUAUUAUAACAGCUUACAAUUAGAUGAGAAUUCUAUCGAAGAGGCUCGAAAAGUAAAAACUAGGUGUUAUAUUAUGCUUUUAAUUGGUUUAUUUUUAUUUCCCGAAGGUAGUGGUUCUAGUAUGCAUGUUAUGUAUUUACCUUUACUAAGACAUGUAGAUAGAAUAGGAAGUUAGAGUUUGGGGUCCGCUUGUCUGGCUUAUCUUUAUAGCUCUUUGUGUAAAAAUGCACCAAAGACACAUCUAUAUUUUCUGGAUGUGUUGUUUUGCUCCAAGCAUGGGGUUAGUCCAGACUACCAUCCCUAGCGUCCUUCAACAACAACCCACUCACAUUCCCGUAUAUACAAAAGUAAGUUCUUAAAAUGGACUAUAUUUACUUACCUUACCGAUUAUUAUCUCUAAAUAAUAUUUUUUACUUUUAUGGCGAAGAUGGUCGGCAUGUGGUAUGAGUUAUAACAGAUGUCCUAGGCACUAUAUUACCCAGUAUCGCAAUCUCUUGGAUCACCUUCGACCAACAGAUGUAUGGCCAUUAACCUAAUUAUUUCCUAAUAAUUUGUUAAUUUCUUCUACCAAAUUUAUAAUCUAAUAUAUGUUCACAUUUCAGUUCAUUUGGCGUUCAUAUCUAAAUUUGGAUCAUGACCAUGAAAUCGACGAACAAGAGGCAGUUGUUUGGAUUGCAUGCACACCAAUCAUAAGAUUCACCACUGUGGAGAUGCACAAUAGUAAUUGUGUUAAAUUGUAGUUCGGUAUGCUUUAACACAUCCCAGGUCCCCUGGAAAACUUAAGAGAAUGGCAUCUAUGCAAAGUUAACGAACAAUGAAACUUUAACCCAUGGCAAAGCUUCGCUAGAUCUGAGUGUUUCAAAUGGAAGCACCACCAAGACCAUGUCUUAACUGACCAUGUGAUGCCAACUGAAGAAAAACCAAGUCGUAAUUAUAUGGCUUGGUACAUAUCGGUUGGAUUUGAGUUCAUCGCCAAGGAUAUGUACCUAUAUGACCCACGACAUGCAACUUACACACCAGAAGGGUCAAUAUCUAACCCCUAACAACAUUGUCAGACCGGUAACUCACAACCCCCUAUCCAUCAAAAUUCUCGAUCCACAAACACACAAACCUACAACCCUAACAUGCCAAACACCCAACCACAAUACCAAGAGCAUACCCCGUACCACCACCAACAACUAGAUCAUCAUUAAGACAUCCAACAUCGCUAUGCACCCAACGCAUUCCUAUCAUAGCCGCCUAAUCCAAAACACUCAACGAUCAUUUAACACCAAUCGUCCCUCCUCCUACCAUAGCCAAGAAGCUCAAACAUCUCAAAACCAAAACCUUCAACAACCAUAUCACUACCAAACACCGCUACAAUCAUUUCAACCUUUCCUCGAUGCAUCAUUCACACCAAUGUAUCCCUUAAAUCGUCCCGGUUUCCCUCCAACAACUCAAACACAACCCAACUACUCUGGAAUGGGUCAUGAGCUCAGCUAUGGUGGUACCCCUUUGAUGCAUACACCAAAUUAUGUUGAUUUGUCUAACUAUCUCAAGCAAUCUCCUGCAGUUGGUGAUGAUGUUCCUGUGCCCUCAGAUACUCAAACACCUGAGGUGAAUCAUCAACGUGGAUUAGGGCCACGAGUUCGGGUAGCUAGGGGAUGUGGGACCGGAGGUCAGUUAGGCGAUCCCGAUCAUCGACAUUAGUCUUUUUUGUGUAAACGGGAAUUUAUAUUAAUAUGAAUUGGUCCUAUUUUGACUUUAUCUAUUAUAUACAAUAUUUUUCAAAAAAAUUACGAAACACACACAGGUGCCAUACCAAUUGGCGCCUCCUUUAAAACUUAACACAUAGGCAUCAAUUGGAUUGAUAACACAAGGUGGACUAGCCAAUCCAAUUGGCGCCUCUUCUCUAAGUUUAAGAGCAGGCGCCAAUUAAUCUGGCGGCCUCCUCUUCAAAGUGGGGUAGUUUGAGAAUUUUUUUGAAAACUGGGUUAUUUUGGGGAUUUUUUUGAAAAACUGGGUUAUUUUGGUAAAAAUUUCCCCAAAUUCAUUCUGCAACAACCUUCACUCAAUUCUACCGAAGUGUUUAGUGGAGAAGAAAUGCUUUAUUUUUUGCUUAUGCUGGAUUUUCAAUUUCAAGCAACACUUAAAUCUUGACCUGCAACUCAAGAAUUUCAAAAACAUCAAUGAUAAAAGACACUUCUCUAUGAUAAAUCACAUUUUCUCUAAGAAUUAAGAAGCAAACAACUCAUAGUAUCUUACUAGAGGUUAAAGAUGAUUAUAUAUUAAAUCUAAUUGUGAUUAAGUGUACUUUAAAAGCUAAAAACUUUGUUUUUGAAAGACUCUCAAAGUUAUGAUGAUAUCACACACUCUUUUGAAAAAUGACACAAUGAUUUUUAUAUGUGUUUGAGAUAGAGCAUUAAAAGUGAGUAAAAAUACUCAUUUGAUUGUAGUCAAGUGCAGUGGAUAUAAUUCAAGUCGGAGGAGAAAAUGAUUUGAAUUAAGAACUUAAAACUCAAAGUUUCCCCUUUUUGAUUCGAAUAAGUGAUUCGAUUUAAAGAAUCAUGUGACUUGAAUCACUCUGACAGAACCAAAAUCUAGCAUUUGGAAUGAAUUUUUUAUUCGAAUAAACCUUUAGCAUAAUGUGAAUAAAUAUUUAUUAUGACUCAAAUCAGGGAAGCUUGUGAUUCAAAUCAACUGAUAAUGGUAAAACCUGAAUUUCACAAUCAUUUAUUAAUUUGGAUCAUGCAUAUCCUUGACUCGAAUCAAACUUCAUAAAGUUACUAUUUUAGGCAAAAUAAAAUAUUUGAUUUAAUAUAAGGUUAGUAUGAUAGUAAUCAUGAAUUCAUGUGUUUAUUGACUCAAAUAAUUAACUAGUUUGACAUGAACCACUUUGCAACAACUUUUAUCUUAUGGUUCGAUUUAAAAAACAUGACUUAAUGCAGAAUAUGCUUUAAAUGCAUUACACUAAAUUCAAAUAUAUGUGCAAAACCUAACUUGGAGAAUAAUCAAUAACAAAAAAUAAUGAACUAUAAGAUAGAAAAUGAGACAAGAAUCAAAACUGAAACCCUAUAGGAGCGGAGCAACUUCAAUAGGUGUUAUCCUAACCAUCUUUAAUAUUUUUCGUUUCUAACGUUAUCCUAUUUAGUAUUACCAAACUUCCAAUGAAACAUCCUCAUAUUUCCUAAACUUAUAUUGUUUCCAUGUUGAUUCUUAACCGCCCAACUUUCUGUUCUAUUCAACUUUGUUGGUUUUCACGUUGUUCAUUAAAAUUUCCCAUCUAGCUUGAGCGGUACCUUUGUGUCAAUAAAAUUCCUAAGUCCCUCAUAAAUUUCGUCCAUCCAAUUUAAAUUCAAUUUUUUACAUCCCCUUAUAUUUCUUCAUCUUAUUUCCACCUUAUGUAUGCACACUAGUCGAUAACCUUCAUACGUAUAUUGGAUAGCUCGAAAAUAAGAAAGCUUAAUCCAUUUCUUAUAUAGGGAUUUCCAUAAAAUCUCUAUAGGAACUUUAUGAUACUCCUUCUCCAAGUCAAUAAAAAUUAAGUUCAAGUCUUAUUGGUCCAUCCGAUAUUUCCCCAUCAUACAUCGUAGUAUAUAGAUUUCUUCCAUGGUCGAAAUCCUAGGCAUAAAACCAAAUUGAUUCUCAGUGACAUGAGUCUAUUUUCUUAGUCUCUGUGCAUUCACUAUUUAACAUAACUUCAUGGCAUGACUCAUAAGUUUAAUCCCCGUAUAGUUUUCCCAAUUUUGUAUAUCCCUUAUGUUCUUAUAGAUUGGAACUAAAAUGAUUCUUCUCCAUUCAUUCAAAAAUUUCUUUGACACCAAUGCAUCUAUAUCCAAUAAUUUCCACAUUUCAAUAGGUAUGUAGUCUGAACCAACCGCCUUAUUGUUACUCGUCCUUUUCAAUGCUUGUUUUAAAUCUUGUUUUUGAAUUUGACUGUAGUAAUUAUAGUUUUGAUCCUCUUCUCCAAUGUCGAGCCUAAUAGAUUUCAGUGAAAUAGCAUAUUCUUCAUUAAAUAAAUUAUAGUAAAACUUCUUUCACAUAUCCUUUAUAUUCUUUUCCUAAACCAAGACUUUGUCCUCUUCAUUCUUAAUACACCUCACUUGAUCAAAAUCCCUUAUCCUUUUUUCUCUCCCCUUAGCAGACAGAUAUAUAUUUCUCCCUCCUUGGUUCCUAAAGAUUAGUAUAAUCCGUCAAUAUCUUGGUUUUUGGCUUCAUUCACCGCCCUCUUGGUCUCAUUCUUAACUUUCUUAUACUUUUCCCAGGUUUCAACAUUUUUACACCUAGAUCAUUCUUAAAAGCAAUCCAUUUUUACUAUUGCCUAACUCUGAACACUUUCAUUCCACCACCAUGAUUCUUUACCAUUAGGUCUAAAACCUUUUUAUUCUUCUAACGUUUCUUUAGCUAUUUUUCUAAUAUCUUGGGCCAUAUUACUCCACAAAUUAUUUUCGCUUCCUUGUGGUUGUCCAAACCCUCCCUUCAAGAUCUUGUGUUAGAAAUUUCCUAAUAUAUUACCAUUCAAAUGUCACCACUUGACACGUGGUUCUCCAAUGCAAUAUUUUAGAAACCACUAAAUAUUGGGUCACUGGUUCAUUGACCGAACCAUUGGGUCACUAGUCGAAUCGCGUGAUUAAACUGGAUAAAACUGGAAAAUUCAGUUGAAUAAACAUGUCAUAACAAAACUAUAUAGGUAUUAAACCAGUCGAAGCGAAUGACUCGGUCUCUAAAAAAAUCACUAGCACCUAAAAAAUAUAAAAAUAUCAUAAUUUCACAAGUUCAUUCUUUAAAUUCAAAUUCUAAACAUAGUCAUCACUAACAAAAAAAUAGUACAAAAUACAAAUCAAAAUAAAAUUUGAACAAAGUCUAAUUGCAACAUAAUAUAAUUUCAUAUUUUAUAACAAAAAAGUUGUAAUAUAUAAUAAAUUUAGUUCUAAGGAGGGAAAAUUGUUUCAAUGUUGGGCUCUCCUUCUUCAUCAAAACCUUCCACGUCAAAAUCAACUGCAACGUCUUCCCCAUAAACGAUAUCAUACUACUCUACGAUCAUUUCUCCACACACGCCUUUACUUGGUUAACCAAUCUUGCAAUUCUCAUCGUGAACUCGCUAAUUGUUUCCUUUUCUUCCAUUUGAAUCAACUUCAGUUUCCUCUUGUGAGUUUGUAACCUCACCAUUUUUGCCUUGUAUGCUCCUGUAUAACUUUUCUCCAUGAUUUCUUAAACUUCCUUUGAGGAUGUGCAAUCAUCAAACUUCUUAAAUUUAUCUGCAUCAACACAUUGUUGAAUCAGAUAUAACGCCUUGUAAUCUUUUGUCCUCUCUUCCUUAUUCUUAUUCCUAUAUGCAACUGUUGUACCUUCUACAAGUGGAGUAACAUCGUUCUUGAUCGCUUCAAUAACAUCUUGAUAACCAAACAACACCUUCAUCUACUUGCAUCACUUAUCGUAAUUCUUUGCAUCGAGAAUUGGGAGAUCUGCAUGGGUUCAUUCAUUGGAAAUGGAAAUCAAUUUUGCACUCUGAGUGUUUGAUGGAUCGGGCCAGGUUUUUGAUGGCAAAUGUUAAAACAAGGAACCACAUGAAUGAUGAUUUUCAAUGCGAAGAGUAAGAGAGUGGGAGAAUGAGAGAGAGUAAAUAUUAAGGGUGAAAAUGGUGAAGACUUUAUUAUUGAAAUACCCAAGGGGUAUAUGUACAUUUACAUGGAAUGAGGUACAUGUAACAAACAAAAAACUAUUGUUGUAAUCGAUUACAUCCCCGCAAUAAUCGGUUACUAAACGCUUUUGUUUCAUUGAUAUAGUGUGGUAACCAAUUGCAUUCGUGCAAUAAUCAGUUACAAUUCAAUCAUGUUUCAACUGUACUGUAACGGUUACAAUCACGCAUUAACAAUAUUAUUCAAAUUUUUAUUGUAACAUUGUCUCUCAAGCACAUGUACUACAAAGUAUGUACGCACUCUUGUCGAGUAUAUCUAUCUUAUUUGUGGUAUUAUAUUUUGAGAAUUCUUAUCUACUCAUUACAACAAAAAAUUAUCUUGAAAUUGAAUAAUUAAUCUUUUUUAAUACAUUUAUUGACAAUUUAUUUACUAUUGACAUACUUUAUUAUGAUUUCNAUACUUUAUUUUGAUUCUUAUUUUAAUAUAUUUUGAUUAUAAAAAUAAAAUCGGUUUUUCUAUUCACUCGGUCAAAUAUUACAAGUAACCAUCAAAUGAAGUAAAGUACUACGCAUGCAUUAAGAGAUUAUGUUCAAAUCAGAGAAAACAGAAAUUAAUGUCAUGAAGCAUUAUCAUGCGAUUCAAAAAACUUUCGUGCAAGGGAAUUCAAUCACCAUGCAACAUUAGACUUCAGCAAAUCAUAAUUCCAAAUAUUGUUUGCCCAUAUAUAUUAUAUUUUUAUUUUGGGUAGGUUGUUCGCUAUUCUGUUUUCACAUGUAGUUUAAUGAGUUUUAACCAAAUUGAAAAUCCCCUUAGACAGAACAAAAGCUACCAUGUUCUUUAAAUAAUAAUAUAAAAUAACUAAAUAAAUAAAAGAAACAAUGAAAUAUGCCGUGGCAGCAAAUUCAGAUUAAUUUAAAGUUUUUUUUAUAUCUAUAUAAACCACCACUUCCAUUUUAUUUCAACUCAUAUCAAUUUACAUUUCUUUCUCCAACACAUAAACAUACACACCUCAACUCAACAAGGCUUUCUUUGAUAACAACAAAAUGGUUUCUAACAACCAAAAACAAUACAUGUGUGUUCUGUUCCUCAUCCUUGCUCUCAAUAUCACCAAUGUAAUGUCCCGAAAGCUGCAACAAUCAACAUCAUCACCAUCCUUAGAAGAAAGACACGAGCAAUGGAUGACAGAAUAUAGCAAAGUGUAUAAUGAUGAUGCUGAGAAAGACAAACGUUUCAUGAUAUUCAAGGACAAUGUUGAAUUCAUUGAAUCAUUCAAUGAUGCCAACAACAAACCUUACAAACUAAGUGUUAAUCACCUUGCUGAUUUGACUCUUGACGAAUUUAAAGCUUCCCGUAAUGGUUACAAAAAGAGGUCUUCUACUACUGAGUUAACUUCAACAUCAUUUAAGUAUGAAGAUGUGACUUCUAUUCCAGCAUCUGUAGAUUGGAGGGUAAAAGGAGCCGUCACUCCAAUCAAGGAUCAAGGACAAUGUGGUAAGUAACAUAAUCAGUAAACAGUAUUUUACGAAUGCUUUAUUAUGAUAUUAUUUGUUUCAAAUAAUUAAUAUUUGUUUUGAAAAUGAAUCAAG
rnacentral:lncRNA from 1 species